GAACACAAUGGUGAACAAAAUUCAGACACCGUCACUGUUCUCCUGGUGCUCUGAGUCUGUGAAGGUCAAACAUUAAUCGGAUAUUUACACGUAGAUGUAUCAUUACAAAGGGAAAGUAGCGUUCUAUGAGUGCAUAUGGCAUGAGGAAGUGCUGAGGGCAGAGGCUGCUGUUACCAGCCUCUCGUGAGGGCAGUCCUGCCACUUGGGCGGAGCUUUGGAAAUGUGUGGGAGCAUUUUUGUUCACCACCACAAAUGACUGGAGGCAUUUAGCAGGAGCGGAACAGCGUUAGACAUCCUAGAGCUCACAGGAUGGUCUUCUACACAAAGUAUUGUCUCUCUUCACACGUGACUUUCAGGUACUCUUCUGGAUACGCAUGUGUUUCAUUAUCUGAGCUUGGAACUGAACUCCCUUUUACAUAAAGAUACAAGAAACCCAGUUUUAGAGAAGAAAAUGAAAGCUCUUCCAUGUAUCUUCUUGAACGUUGUAGAAUGAGCAUUGCAGCAUAAAUCACCCAAAAUUCAUCAGCUCUGACAUAUCAUCAAAGAAGAGGAAAGACUUCUAAUGAGUCAUCUGGAUGUUGCUGGCAGAGGUGAGACAUCAAGAGGUUCAAGAGGUCUUCAUACGAUCCCUGGUUUUUCCAUCUACCAAGGAUGGAUAAGGCUGAGGAUAUAAUUAAGCAAUAGAAACAGCAAAACUAGAGAUGGUACUCUGCAAACAUGUUCCAUGAGGAGACAGAAAGAAUCUACCAAGCCUAUAGGCAUUACACAGACGCAGAUCCAGAAGACCCUAAGAACCUCAAGAUGAUGAAUAUGACUUUCAUAGGACAAAGUGCCCCAGACCUUACAAGGAAGCUAGAGAAACUGGAUGGGCAUUAGGUGUACAACAACAAGGAAUGAUGGAUAAAGCAGGAAGAAGUUAAAAGAAAUGCUUCUCUGGCAGCUGCUCUGAGUGGACAGAAACCAAAUCAUCCCAGUGGAGGGGCCAGCCAACUGAAGGGAGCAGGUCGACCUACCCAUCUGAUUUCGCUUUACAUUCUUACCAGCUGGAUGACAGAGUCCUGUUCAAAAGCUGGAAAGAACAAGGUCUUGAGCAUCAGCUGUCUGCUAAAUGGACAGGCUGCUUUCACCACCUGUUCUUCCAUGGAGCUCUCUGGAGUAAAACCGUGGAUACAUUGAAUCCAGAUAAAACAAGCUCUACCAGAAGAGACAACAGAGCAACCUGAGACCACCUCCUGAAAGUGCGAACACAUCAAGGAUUUAAGAUGUGUAUUCUGUAAAGUUCCUUAAUCUUUACACAAUACUUAGGACAAAUACAAGGAAUCAAGUAUGCUUUAACAUGUCCUCUAGCGCUCAAGAGACAAUUUGUUUCUGUUUUGCUAUUAAUGGUUAUGAGAUUGCCUCAUGUCAGUUAUAACUUCUGCCUCCAGAAACAUCUUCCCUUUCUGAUUGUUGGUUACUGAUCAUGGAGAAAAGUCACUAACUUUGAUCCCCUGACAGAUGGCCACAAUACCCACUUUAAUUCUAUGAGGCUAGUAUUUUUAUAUGAUAUAAACACCUAGACAUUAAUUUGGACUUUAUGGGGUACAUUUAUUAUAUAGGACAGACUUUAGGGAAAACUGCUUGGGAACUUCUCCCAGGGAAGGUUUUUGGUAGAGAUAUAAUCAGGACUAGAGCCACCAAGUAUCAGCAUUAUUAUGUUGCCAUUGGAAUCAAUGAUGAGUUGCUAAAAAAAAAAUACCAGGUUAUAACAGCAGUUACUUAGCCAAACCUUGUGUUUCCUGUCAUAGUGCCAUGUGUCCCCAUUCCCCUCAGCCAUGUUUUUGUGGAUGGGUACCAAAAACCAAAUCUUCUAAUAAGAAGGGAUGAUCACAUGCAGUAGGAGUAAAAUGGUGGACCACUGCUAACAAAGGACAAAAAGAGAUUUUAGGAUCAUUCGGGGCUAGAUUGAGUGUAUUGGGCCAAGUGGAAAUGGCAUUUGAUAAAAACUAUCACAGGCAAGAGAUGCAAUAUUUAAUGGCAUCAGGAAAAUUAGGUGGAUUAUUGUUUCAAGAAGAAGGAAAGGGUUGGGAAGCAGUCUGGAAGACCAACCAAGCUUUAGACAAAUGGAUAAGCAAAACUCAGGAAAUAAUGACAAAAUAUGCUGAGUCUCAACUGUGGGAAAAGGCAUGUGCCUCUACCCAGCAAAGCUUAAUAGACAUGCUUCUCUAAAUGGAAUCAGAAGUAGCAAUGAAACAAUGGCCCACUAUCUUAACAGCUGAGGCCCAAGAAACCCACUUAUGGGAAAAUAUGGGACACCAAACAUAUGGGAAAUAAUUGAAGGAAUUUUAAGUCUACACUGUUGUUCUCUGACUGCCUUAGUACUCAAAUUAAGAAAAGAUUUCAAACAUGAAGUAGUACAGCUUGUAGGAAUAGAUACCCUCCACAACAAUUACCAAAUACUUCCUAUGGGAAGUUUCUGGACCCUCUUUUCCUUGCAUAACUCAAUGGGAACCAAUUUCAGUUAUGAGUUGUAAAUAACGAAAUGGUUACAUUGGCUAUUCCAACAUAUGGCUAUGCCCACAACAGCAAUGGAACUCAGAGGUAAGUCUGACUUGGCCUGUGGUAAGAACUCUGGUUCAAGAUACAUUUGGUACAUGGAAAAAGGGAGAUUCUGUUGGGAAGGUGCCAUGAAUCAUACUGAUUCGUCCGUUUGAUCUGAUAAUCGUCCGUUUAUCAGAUCCUUAUCGUGACCAAACUGAGUUCAUAAUGAAUUUGUCUAAUAUCUGGUGUACUACAGAGGUUACAGGUAAAGUUCAUUUGCUGGAAACUAACAAAACCUGUGAUAACACUGAUGAAGAAGACUAUACCUAUCAGGAGUUAGAACUGAGACCCUCCACAAAGGUAAACUUAUAGAAGAUAAAUGGCCUAAGCAAAAUCUAAACUUAGCAUCUCAAGAAGUCCAGAGGUUCUUGAACAAGCUGGAGUAAUUGAACACCAGGCAGAGGUCACUGUUACAGAGAGGGGAAAGAGAAUCAUUCAGUUAAUCCAAAAAUAUGCAGAAGUUUGUUCUGGUUUCAUCAGAUGGCUCUCUUGUCUGAUUGGGUCUGCCUCUAGUAGUGAUAAAAUCUUAAAAGUUACCUUUUUUGCCUCCUUCUGAUAAUUUGUAUCCUUUUCUUACCCUGAGGUUGUGUUAACUGAUAAAAUGGAAAAAAAACUAAAGUCUCAAACAGUGUUAAUCAACACUGUUGCUCGAGAAUACUUUCAAAUCAAGUUUCGUCAGUUCCAUUCCUCUAUUCUCUAUGAUGCCCCUUGUCAGCAGGAAGUAGCCAGAUAGAAAUGAUAGCCAUAUAAGAUUAUAGAAUGGAUAACUGACAGUGAGAAAUUGAUACUGGCCUGAAGUAAGUUUGAUAUGAGGGAAGCUAUGUUGUAACUUAGAAUAACCUCUGACUAAACCACCCAAGCUGUAUGUUUUACCUUGCACUAGCCUAGGAGAUAAAUAGCUACCCUCUAGGAAAUAAUCCUGGCUGACAAAUGUACAGCCCAAUAGAUAUGGAUGAUAACUUUGUUAUUUUGAGUUUCUUAGGAACAUGGUGACCUCCUCAGAGAAGAACAUCUAUGCUGGCAUAUAUCAUCGAAGACAACUGAAAGACCUGUGGCAUCUCCAGUCACUGAUGCCAGAUAGUCAAUGUUCCUGAGCCCCUCCUUCAUAGCUCACUAGUCUCUAUACAACUGCCUCAAGAUUAUAUGCUUGUUUAAGAUGGUCUUUGGGACAUGAGCCUACCGUCUUCUGAUUUUGCUGGCUAAUCAAAUUAAUUCCUUUCUCAACCACUGACUCAUUUGUAGUUGAUUGCCUUCAGGGUUGUGGCAAGCAGAAUGAGCCCUUGCUUGGUUACAGAAUUUGUCUGACUUCCAAAUGUUUGGGAAUAAGAUAACUGGAGAGUCUGAUCAGCACCUGCCAAGGGUGUCAUUGCUGAAGACUGGUCCUGUGCAGUUCAGAUCCUUAGCUGUGUGUCCCACACAUGCUCACUUGUUGUUUCCAAGCUCAGAAAUUGUGCUAGGUUGGCUGGGUCAAAGUGAAGGUUAUGUUGGUAGCACUGUCUCAUGCUACCCUAGAUCUAGCCUCUGAGCUUCAGGGCCCUCUAUUGUGCCCAGGCCAUUAGAUACCUCCUGCCUUGUGGUGAGAUCUCUUUGGUGCCCCGCAUAUCCUUUCCUCUCAGCAGACCUAAAGGGCCAGGAGCAACUGGUCCAGCCAAGGUGCUGGGAAUUAGAAUCUGGGAAUAAGUUCAGGGCUGGGAUCUCAGAAGACUCCUGGGCUGCUAUUGAAAACUCAUCCUCUCCUUCCAGGAGAUUUGCCUCCCAGGGAGUGGUAGCUUUUGCUAAAGUCUGGAUGUAAGAGUAUCCUCUGUGGUCUGACUGCUUGACUUUGAAUCCUGGCUUUACCAUUUCUAAGCUGAGUAAUCUUGUGCAAUUUGCUUAAUCUGUUUAAGAUUCAAUUUGCUCAUCUGUGAAAGAGGGUUUAUUAGAGUACCUUCCCCUUAGGAUCCCCAAGAGGAUUAAAUGAGGUAAUCCAUGUGAAGUAUAUAGUGUAGUUCCUGGCAUGAAAAUACUCAAUAAAAGUUAGCUGCAAAAUUAUUAUGCUACAUAAAACCCAAUAGGUCCUAUUACACCAAAAUGGAAGUUUUGGUACAAGGGGACUGUUUCUUCAUUGUGUGGAGAAAUGGCUGGAAACUUAUUUCUUGUUUAAAAAAAUCUGUCUUAACGUCAUUGAUUAGUAAGUUUAAACUGUUUGUCCCCAACUUUAUUUGCUGUAUUUACUCUUUGGUGAAUUGUCAGUUAAUACUUUUCUUGUUUUCUGCAUUCUUUGUAUUUUUUUAGCUAAACUUUUUAUUUUGAGAUAACUGCAUAUUCUUAUGCAGUAAUAAGAAAUAAUACAGAGAGAUUCCAUGUAACCUUUCCCUCAGUUUCCUGAGCAUCUCUGUGUGUGUAUUUAUUUAUUUUUCCAGUCUCUUUCUCUCUCUGGUUCAAAUUGGAUCAUUUCUAUUGUCCUAUCUUCAAAGUCACUAAUUCUUUCUUCUGUCCUCUACAUUCUGUGGUUGAG
rnacentral:lncRNA from 1 species